GACGAACGCUGGCGGCGUGCUUAACACAUGCAAGUCGAACGGAAAGGCCUCUUUCGGGGGGUACUCGAGUGGCGAACGGGUGAGUAACACGUGAGUAACCUGCCCUUGACUUUGGGAUAACUUCAGGAAACUGGGGCUAAUACCGGAUAGGAGCUCCUGCUGCAUGGUGGGGGUUGGAAAGUUUCGGCGGGUGGGGAUGGACUCGCGGCGUAUCAGCUUGUUGGUGGGGUGGUGGCUUACCAAGGCUUUGACGGGUAGCCGGCCUGGGAGGGUGACCGGCCACAUUGGGACUGGGAUACGGCCCAGACUCCUACGGGGGGCAGCAGUGGGGAAUAUUGCACAAUGGGUGGAAGCCUGAUGCAGCAACGCCGUGGGCGGGAUGACGGCCUUCGGGUUGUAAACCGCUUUCGCUCAUGACGAAGCUUUGUGUGACGGUAGUGGGUAAAGAAGCACCGGCUAACUACGUG
rnacentral:rRNA from 1 species